UUUAAUAAUUAAUUAUAUUUGUAAUAAAUCAAAUUACACUUCAUGCUGUGCUGGGUUCAAACACUUUUGAAAAAACAAAUCAAAUUACAUUUAUACUAAUAUCAAAUUAUAUUUAUAAAUUUAUACUUAUUAAUAUUUAUAAAAAAUUUAAAAUUACAAACAAAAUAUACUUCCACCCGCAACUUAUAAACCAACUUCAACUAUAACUUUCCCUAGCCACAAUUAUUUCAAAACUUAUAAUCUAACUUAAUUUUCACAAUUUAUAAACUAAUUUAUUUUCACAACAUACAAAUUAAUUUAUUUCCAUACAGCAUAGAAACUAACUCAUUUCCACAUCUUAUACGCUCUACCAACCUCACCCCUAUUGUUGAAUUUCCACAGGUAGCUAACUUAGGAAUUACCAUAAAUGAGUUUGUCAGGCCCAAUGUGAACUCUGUAAACAAUACGGCAAUACCAUUAUCAAUUCAUUAGAACAUACCUCGACAUCUACCGCAACAACGUCGUCAACCAUCUAAAAAGAUUUUCGUAUGCCACCAUUAUAAAUCACACCGUUCUAUGACUUCAAGUUCGUUCAGUUAUUCUCCUUGGUAGGACAGUAAGGUUACCUUUCACUCGACGUCUACCCACCACAUCACAUGCUAGCUACCCCAAAAGCUUACUCGCACAGGAAAAAAAAUCAGCCUAUCCAUUUUUUCUCUACAACCACAACUAAAUACAUCAAUUGAACUAAAAAUACGAAAUACACUUCCCAAAUUAACGCCAUCAUACAUUACCUUUGCCUCCUUACCAACUAUCGCAAAAAGAUGAAACCAUGGGACGAAGAAUAAGCAGGAAAGAAAUCCAGCAUGCUUGUUUGAACAAAAGACGAAAAAAAAACAACUUGGAUUCGAACUUCGGAAUAUCAUUAAAACGCAAAUAAUAUUAAGUUCAACAAUAAAAUCAUGUAAAUAUCCACACUUUUCAAUUACCCGUCAUCAAGAAUGAGUCAUAAAAGUUUGUUAAUUGCAAAUGACGUUAUGGACCAUAACAUUUAAGAACCAACAGCAACAGAUAUCUUCAACAAAUUGGGAAUGAAGAAGGAUGAUAUCAUUUAUUUGAGAUAUUCCUUUUAUUUCAGAGCAUUAAUCUCCAAAGGCCAUGAUUACCAAAAACCAAAGAAUUGAGCUAUCAAUGCUAAUAUACGUUACCUUUGCUUCUUGUUUAUCGCCAUCAGAUGAAUCAUGGGACUAAGAAAUAAGAAUGGGCAUAAAUGGGGUUGUCGACCAUAAGAUCUAAGGGCUAACAUUCUACCUAGAUAUUUCUAGUACACGCUUCAAUUAGAAACAGAGAUAUGAUGACGUGAGAAAACAACCAAUAUUAAGUCCAACAAUAAAAACCAUGGCAAUAACCACAAUUAUCAGUUGCACAUUGUCAACAAUGGGCAUAAAUGGGGGUUAUGAAGUUCGACACCCUUUCAAAGGCCAAAGAAAUAACAAGUCGUGGUCACAUAUGCGAGGAUCUAUAGAUAAGAAUGCCAAACAUUAAAAGACAAAUCUCCCAAUCCAAUACUCUGUGAUAUUCAAAACAAUAUUCAAUCUUCUUACUUUCUUAGAGUAAAAAAGUAUUCCAACUGCAGUUUUUAUGUCCUUCAUUUACUAAAGCUCUUUACUUUCUUAAAGUAAAAAAUUUAUUGCACCUCUAGUUCUGAUACCCAUCGCCUAUUAGGUGUAUCUUAAGUGGACUAAAGCUAAGCAGAAACAACUAAAAGUAAUGUCAAACUCGCUCAUAGGACACGCUUUUACAAGUGAAUUGCCAUCGAGUUUCAUACAGAUCUCCUUCACAGCUGAAACCAAAUUAAGUAUUCAACUUAAGGUUCUUCCCACAUGGGUUACUACCUUUUAUAGCAUCUGCAGAUUUCGCCAACUAAACAGGGCAGGCAGAGGGUGAAAAAUAAGCCUCAAAGGCUUGCACGUGUUGUAAUGUGCAGUUACUAUUGCAGUUUCCUGCGUAGCAGAGUAGGAAUGGCAUUUGGCCUGCCUGCUAUCGAUCUAUUCCACUUUACAUGCAUACAAGUAAAAUUAAAACAAACUUAUAAAGCUUAUGUCCUUUUUCA